rnacentral:rRNA from 1 species
CCUACGGGGGGCAGCAGUGAGGAAUAUUGGUCAAUGGGCGGGAGCCUGAACCAGCCAAGUCGCGUGAGGGAAGACGGUCCUAUGGAUUGUAAACCUCUUUAGGCGGGGAGCAAUGCCGGGCACGCGUGCCCGGAGGGAGAGUACCCGCAGAAUAAGCAUCGGCUAACUCCGUGCCAGCAGCCGCGGUAAUACGGAGGAUGCGAGCGUUAUCCGGAUUUAUUGGGUUUAAAGGGUGCGCAGGCGGCCUGUUAAGUCAGCGGUAAAAGCCCGGGGCUCAACCCCGGCGAGCCGUUGAAACUGGCGGGCUGGAGUUGGAGAGAAGUACGCGGAAUGCGCGGUGUAGCGGUGAAAUGCUUAGAUAUCGCGCAGAACCCCGAUUGCGAAGGCAGCGUACCGGCUCCACACUGACGCUGAGGCACGAAAGCGUGGGUAUCGAACAGGAUUAGAUACCCUGGUAGUC